GAUGAACGCUGACAGAAUGCUUAACACAUGCGAGUCUACUUGAAUUUGGGUUUUUUCCCUUAGAUUUGGGUGGCGGACGGGUGAGUAACGCGUAAAGAACUUGCCUCACAGCUAGGGACAACAUUUGGAAACGAAUGCUAAUACCUGAUAUUAUGAUUAUAAGGCAUCUUAGAAUUAUGAAAGCUAUAUGCGCUGUGAGAGAGCUUUGCGUCCCAUUAGCUAGUUGGAGAGGUAACGGCUCACCAAGGCGAUGAUGGGUAGCCGGCCUGAGAGGGUGAACGGCCACAAGGGGACUGAGACACGGCCCUUACUCCUACGGGAGGCAGCAGUGGGGAAUAUUGGACAAUGGACCAAGAGUCUGAUCCAGCAAUUCUGUGUGCACGAUGACGUUUUUCGGAAUGUAAAGUGCUUUCAGUUGGGAAGAAAAAAAUGACGGUACCAACAGAAGAAGUGACGGCUAAAUACGUG
rnacentral:rRNA from 1 species